rnacentral:rRNA from 1 species
UACAGAGACUGCAAGCGUUAUUCGGAUUCACUGGGCGUAAAGGGUGCGCAGGCGGCCAAGUGUGCCAGGUGUGAAAUCCCGAGGCUUAACCUCGGAACUGCGCCUGAAACUACUUGGCUAGAGUACUGGAGAGGGUAACGGAAUUCACGGUGUAGCAGUGAAAUGCGUAGAUAUCGUGAGGAACACCAGAGGCGAAGGCGGUUACCUGGACAGUUACUGACGCUCAGGCACGAAAGCGUGGGGAGCAAAAGGG